rnacentral:rRNA from 1 species
CGCAUCUGUGCAUGCAGCAUAUCAAUAAGCGGAGGAAAAGAAACUAACAAGGAUUCCCUUAGUAACGGCGAGUGAAGCGGGAAGAGCUCAGAUUUGAAAUCUUCAAGGUUUUACCUUGACGAAUUGUAGUUUAAAGAAGUGUUUUCUGUUGAAGUUUUGGUAAAAGUUCUUUGGAAUAGGACAUCAUAGAGGGUGAGAAUCCCGUAUUUGACCAUUAUUUUCAGCUGUGUGAUACACUUUCAAAGAGUCGGAUUGUUUGGGAAUGCAGUCCGAAAUGGGUGGUAAAUUUCAUCUAAAGCUAAAUAUUGGCGAGAGACCGAUAGCGAACAAGUACCGUGAGGGAAAGAUGAAAAGAACUUUGAAAGAGAGUUAAACAGUACGUGAAAUUGUCAAAAGGGAAGCGUUUGACACCAGUGUUGUUUUCUCGAAAAUCAAUUAAAAAGAGUUAGAUUUUGUUGUGUAUUGACCUUAACAGCUUGCAUUUCAAUUUUCUUGCUUUUUUUAAUGCACUUUUCGUUUAACAAGUCAACAUCAGUUUUUUUGUUGUAAAAAGGUCAUUGGAAGGUGGCUUUCUUUUCGGAGAAAGUGUUUAUAGCCUUUGACUCCUGCAAUCGGAGAGACUGAGGUCUGCAGCGUAGAUCCUUCGGGGUUAGAUACACUUGUGCUAAGUUAUAGCUUUUUAUAGACAACUUGUUGACUAUGAUUAGUCUUGUAGCUUACUCGCUUAUGCUAUUUUACCUACGCUUAGGAUGUUGACGCGCGUGUGUGCGUG